rnacentral:piRNA from 1 species
UNGCAUCUUUGCAUCUUGUGCCCCUGAGCCU